UACGAAGGGGGCUAGCGUUGCUCGGAAUCACUGGGCGUAAAGCGCACGUAGGCGGAUUGUUAAGUCAGGGGUGAAAUCCUGGAGCUCAACUCCAGAACUGCCUUUGAUACUGGCGAUCUUGAGUCCGGGAGAGGUGAGUGGAACUGCGAGUGUAGAGGUGAAAUUCGUAGAUAUUCGCAAGAACACCAGUGGCGAAGGCGGCUCACUGGCCCGG
rnacentral:rRNA from 1 species